UACGUAGGUGGCGAGCGUUAUCCGGAAUGAUUGGGCGUAAAGGGUGCGUAGGCGGGCAUUUAAGCCGGCGGUCAAAUGUCGGGGCUCAACCCCGGCCUGCCGUCGGAACUGGGUGCCUUGAGUGGGCGAGAAGUAUGCGGAAUGCGUGGUGUAGCGGUGAAAUGCAUAGAUAUCACGCAGAACCCCGAUUGCGAAGGCAGCAUACCGGUGCACAACUGACGCUCAGGCACGAAAGCGUGGGGAGCAAAUAGG
rnacentral:rRNA from 1 species